rnacentral:rRNA from 1 species
AUUGAACGCUGGCGGCAGGCUUAACACAUGCAAGUCGAGCGGGGGAAGGUAGCUUGCUACCGGACCUAGCGGCGGACGGGUGAGUAAUGCUUAGGAAUCUGCCUAUUAGUGGGGGACAACAUCUCGAAAGGGAUGCUAAUACCGCAUACGUCCUACGGGAGAAAGCAGGGGAACUUCGGACCUUGCGCUAAUAGAUGAGCCUAAGUCGGAUUAGCUAGUUGGUGGGGUAAAGGCCUACCAAGGCGACGAUCUGUAGCGGGUCUGAGAGGAUGAUCCGCCACAGUGGGACUGAGACAAGGCCCAGACUCCUCCGGGAGGAAGCAGUGGGGAAUAUUGGACAAUGGGGGGAACCCUGAUCCAGCCAUGCCGCGUGUGUGAAGAAGGCCUUAUGGUUGUAAAGCACUUUAAGCGAGGAGGAGGCUACUUUAGUUAAUACCUAGAGAUAGUGGACGUUACUCGCAGAAUAAGCACCGGCUAACUCUGUGCCAGCCGCCGCCGUAA